GUAGGAUCUCCUACGAUGGAGUCUUCGUAUUGUUGUUCGAUCUUUUACAAUUUAUUGGGCGGAAUCCCUUGGGUUAUUACAGUUUCUUUGUGCGGUUUGUGGGGUAUCCUUGCCGGAUCUGCAUGUCUAUUUGAUGCACUGUCAUAUCUUCUAUGCCUUGGCUUGUUAUUUAUAGUCGAUUCAUGAGGUUAUUUACCAUUCAUGUGUAGUUACCGUGUGGAUGUGGACUUGUUGCCAUGAACCUGUCUCUAAUGUCGGUCUGUGUUGUUGACGAGGAGCCUGCCCGGGGCUAAUAUGGUUGUUCUGUGAAAUAAUGAGCCUCUGGAAGGC
rnacentral:lncRNA from 1 species